rnacentral:tRNA from 1 species
UGCACAGCUGGAUAGUGCGUCAGACUCCGACUCUGAAGGUCGUAGGUUCGAAUCCUAUCGGGUAGGCCA